GCUUAACACAUGCAAGUCGAACGGAACGAUGGAGAAGUUUACUUCUUCAGGCGUCGAGUGGCGGACGGGUGAGUAAUAGCAUAGGAAUCUGCCCUAUAGUUUGGGAUAACUACUCGAAAGAGUGGCUAAUACCGGAUGUGGACUACGGUUUAAAGCAGGGGACCUUCGGGCCUUGCGCUAUACGAUGAGCCUAUGUGAGAUUAGCUAGUUGGUGAGGUAAAGGCUCACCAAGGCGACGAUCUCUAGCUGGUCUGAGAGGAUGAUCAGCCACACUGGGACUGAGACACGGCCCACACUCCUACAGGAGGCAGCAGUGGGGAAUAUUGGACAAUGGGCUGAAACCUGAUCCAGCCAUACCGCGUGUGUGAAUAAGGCCUUCGGGUUGUAAAGCACUUUUGUCAGGGAGAAUGGCCAAUUAACGUUAAUACCCUUAGCUGUUGAUGUUACCUGAAAAA
rnacentral:rRNA from 1 species